GUAGGGAGCAAACGUUGUCCGGAUUUAUUGGGCGUAAAGGGCUCGUAGGCGGUUCAACAAGUCGGUCGUGAAAGCCCGGGGCUCAACCCCGGGAUGCCGGUCGAAACUGUUGUGACUUGAGUUCGGUAGAGGUGAGUGGAAUUCUCGGUGUAGCGGUGGAAUGCGCAGAUAUCGAGAGGAACACCAUUAGCGAAGGCGGCUCACUGGGCCGAUACUGACGCUGAGGAGCGAAAGCGUGGGGAGCAAACAGGAUUAGAUACCCUGGUAGUCCACGCCGUAAACGAUGAACACUAGGUGUAGCGGAUUUAUUCACGUCUGCUGCGCCGUAGCGAACGCAUUAAGUGUUCCGCCUGGGGAGUACGGCCGCAAGGCUA
rnacentral:rRNA from 1 species